GACGAACGCUGGCGGCGUGCUUAACACAUGCAAGUCGAACGGAAAGGCCCUGCUUUUGUGGGGUGCUCGAGUGGCGAACGGGUGAGUAACACGUGAGUAACCUGCCCUUGACUUUGGGAUAACUUCAGGAAACUGGGGCUAAUACCGGAUAGGAGCUCCUGCUGCAUGGUGGGGGUUGGAAAGUUUCGGCGGUUGGGGAUGGACUCGCGGCUUAUCAGCUUGUUGGUGGGGUAGUGGCUUACCAAGGCUUUGACGGGUAGCCGGCCUGAGAGGGUGACCGGCCACAUUGGGCCUGGGAUACGGCCCAGACUCCUACGGUAGGCAGCAGUGGGGAAUAUUGCACAAGGGGCGGAAGCCUGAUGCAGCAACGCCGCGUGCGGGAUGACGGCCUUCGGGUUGUAAACCGCUUUCGCCUGUGACGAAGCGUGAGUGACGGUAAUGGGUAAAGAAGCACCGGCUAACUACGUG
rnacentral:rRNA from 1 species